rnacentral:rRNA from 1 species
GACGAAGGGGGCUAGCGUUGCUCGGAAUCACUGGGCGUAAAGGGCGCGUAGGCGGCCUGAUCAGUCGGGGGUGAAAGCCUGUGGCUCAACCACAGAAUGGCCUUCGAUACUGUCGGGCUUGAGACCGGAAGAGGUAAGUGGAACUGCGAGUGUAGAGGUGAAAUUCGUAGAUAUUCGCAAGAACACCAGUGGCGAAGGCGGCUUACUGGUCCGGAUCUGACGCUGAGGCGCGAAAGCGUGGGGAGCAAACAGG